rnacentral:lncRNA from 1 species
ACAAAAUUCAGAAUAAUAACGUGAGGACCUGAGAUAUUCCCAUUUUGCCAAUUUUUUUUAAUAUUGCUGGUUAUAUAAUUUCUACCUCUCUUCCUCUCUCCGACUCAGAUGGUGUUAAAAUCUGGCUGGUGGCAGAAUGAAGCCAUUGGUCCUCAGGUGACAUGCCCUACGGCAAAGCUAGCCCUCCUUAAAGAGUCUCCUGGGAGGCCACAUGGAAGUUGUAAUUCUCCUUCGCAGGAUUGAUGGAUCUCUUCUACAGCAGACUCUCCCCUAGGUCAUUUCUUCUAGAAAACCUGCGGUUGGUAAAAAUGACAUGUACCUUCCUGCCGCAGGACUCCAUUGGCCUCUCUUGCCCAGCCUGCGGGUCCUAAUCUAAUUACUCAGUGGGAAGAGCCAUUUGUUGGCAGAGAGACCAGAGCAGGUUGGCAACAGGACACUCCUGACAUAUGAGCCGGCAGACCCACAAAAUCAUCUCCACAAUCUAUUUCUGCAAGUUUGGGAGCGACCGAGAAACUCAAGUGUUCUUGGCUCAGAGAACAAGGCGUAAAAUGGGAAAUGGAUUGUAGAUGCUUUAGGACAAGGGGCUACGAGGUCACAUGGCUGGACCCGCCGCUGUCCUCUAGGGUCUGAACGUGGGAUGAAUUUGAUAAAUGUUUAUUGAGGAAGGAGAGUUAAAUUAGAGGACCUUCAGCUUGAGCCAGGGACUCAUGUUCUCCUAGGUACUGAGUCACAUUACCCAGCUGACCUACACGUUCUCAUGUCCUUUCUGCAUACACAUGACCCUCACCUGUGGUGGAGGUGAUGGUGAUGGAGGUGAUGGUGAUGGUGGUGAUGGUGAGGAUGGUGAUGGUGAUGAAGAUGUUAGUGGUGAUGGUGAUGGUGAUGGUGGAGGUGAUGAUGAUGAUGGUGACGGUGAUAGAGAUGGUGAUGAUGGUGGUGGUGAUG